UGACCUCAGAUCAGGCAAGGCUACCCGCUGAAUUUAAGCAUAUUAAUAAGCGGAGGAAAAGAAACUAACAAGGAUUCCCCUAGUAAUGGCGAAUGAAGCGGGAACAGCUCAAAUUUAAAAUCUCCGUUGCUUGCAACGGCGAAUUGUAGUUUCGAGAAGGACUUUCUCGGCGGAUCCGAGGUCGUCCAAGUUGCUUGGAACAGCACGUCGUAGAGGGUGACAACCCCGUCUGCGGCGACCUCGGCCGUUCACGAUGUGCUUUCGACGAGUCGGGUUGUUUGGGAAUGCAGCCCAAAAUGGGUGGUAAACUCCAUCUAAAGCUAAAUAUUGGCACGAGACCGAUAGCGAACAAGUACCGUGAGGGAAAGAUGAAAAGCACUUUGAAAAGAGAGUUAAAAAGUACGUGAAACCGUUAAAAGGGAAACGAAUGGGGUUAGCAAUGCGUCGUGCGAGAUUCAGCCGGUGGGUGGGCCAGGCGGGCGGUUGGCGGAUCUGAAUGGACCGCUGCCGUUCGGGUUGGUUACCCGACCGUCGCACUU
rnacentral:ncRNA from 1 species